rnacentral:misc_RNA from 1 species
GAUGAAGAACGUAGCGAAAUGCGAUAAGUAAUGUGAAUUGCAGAAUUCAGUGAAUCAUCGAAUCUUUGAACGCACAUUGCGCCCGUCAGUAUUCUGGCGGGCAUGCCUGUUCGAGCGUCAUUACGCCCCUCAAGUCCCCUGUGGACUUGGUGUUGGGGAUCGGCGAGGCUGGUUUUCCAGCACAGCCGUCCCUUAAAUUCAUUGGCGGUCUCGCCGUGGCCCUCCUCUGCGCAGUAGUAAAACACUCGCAACAGGAGCCCGGCGCGGUCCACUGCCGUAAAACCCCCCAACUUUUUAUAGUUGACCUCGAAUCAGGUAGGACUACCCGCUGAACUUAAGCAUAUCAAUAAGCGGAGGA